rnacentral:rRNA from 1 species
GACGAACGCUGGCGGCGCGCCUAACACAUGCAAGUCGAGCGGAGUAAGGAUUUCGGUUUUACUUAGCGGCGGACGGGUGAGUAACGCGUGAGUAACCUGCCCUUCAGCGGGGGAUAGCGUCUGGAAACGGACGAUAAUACCGCAUAAUGUGCGAAGAAGACAUCUUCUUUGUACCAAAGGAUUUAUUCACUGAAGGAUGGACUCGCGUCCGAUUAGAUAGUUGGUGAGGUAACGGCCCACCAAGUCUGCGAUCGGUAGCCGGACUGAGAGGUUGAUCGGCCACAUUGGGACUGAGACACGGCCCAGACUCCUACGGGAGGCAGCAGUGGGGGAUAUUGCACAAUGGAGGAAACUCUGAUGCAGCGACGCCGCGUGAGGGAAGAAGGUCUUCGGAUUGUAAACCUCUGUCUUCAGGGACGAAACAAAUGACGGUACCUGAAGAGGAAGCCACGGCUAACUACGUG